UGCAAGUCGAGCGGAACGAGUUGUCUGAACCUUCGGGGAACGAUAACGGCGUCGAGCGGCGGACGGGUGAGUAAUGCCUGGGAAAUUGCCCUGAUGUGGGGGAUAACCAUUGGAAACGAUGGCUAAUACCGCAUAAUAGCUUCGGCUCAAAGAGGGGGACCUUCGGGCCUCUCGCGUCAGGAUAUGCCCAGGUGGGAUUAGCUAGUUGGUGAGGUAAUGGCUCACCAAGGCGACGAUCCCUAGCUGGUCUGAGAGGAUGAUCAGCCACACUGGAACUGAGACACGGUCCAGACUCCUACGGGAGGCAGCAGUGGGGAAUAUUGCACAAUGGGCGCAAGCCUGAUGCAGCCAUGCCGCGUGUAUGAAGAAGGCCUUCGGGUUGUAAAGUACUUUCAGCAGUGAGGAAGGUGGUAGUGUUAAUAGCACUAUCAUUUGACGUUAGCUGCAGAAGAAGCACCGGCUAACUCCGUGCCAGCAGCCGCGGUAAUACGGAGGGUGCGAGCGUUAAUCGGAAUUACUGGGCGUAAAGCGCAUGCAGGUGGUUUGUUAAGUCAGAUGUGAAAGCCCGGGGCUCAACCUCGGAAUAGCAUUUGAAACUGGCAGACUAGAGUACUGUAGAGGGGGGGUAGAAUUUCAGGUGUAGCGGUGAAAUGCGUAGAGAUCUGAAGGAAUACCGGUGGCGAAGGCGGCCCCCUGGACAGAUACUGACACUCAGAUGC
rnacentral:rRNA from 1 species